GGAGAGAUGGUUGAGUGGACUAAAGCGACGGAUUACUAAUCCGUUGUAUGAGUUAUUUAUACUGAGGGUUCGAAUCCCUCUCUCUCCA